ACAGCCACAUCAUGUUGAAAUACCUGUUCCUAUAUGAUCACCGAAAUUAAACAAUGUCAAGCUUGGUCAGUAGAUGGGUGACCACUUGGGAAUACCAGGUGCCGUAAG